GAGGGUAUAGCUCAGUGGUAGAGCACAUGCUUAGCAUGCAGGAUGUCCUGGGUUCAAUCCCCAGUACUGCCA
rfam:Camelus ferus unplaced genomic scaffold scaffold2748, whole genome shotgun sequence.